rnacentral:ncRNA from 1 species
CUAAAUGUAUGGAUAGGAAGAGUAAUUUGUAGAGAACGCGUAGAGAGCUGAUGGUUGGUGAAAAUCAGUGUUUUGAAGCAGAUGAACAUGGCCCUUGAACAGAACACAUGAAAAUGCAGUAGUGUGUUACGGAUUUGUACACGUUAAGGUACAGCUGAUAGAUUAGAUCAGCACGAGGAUAUCACAGUGAUGUGAUAUCAAAGUAGGGUGGUAACACGACAUUGACUUCGUCCCUUUG